rnacentral:rRNA from 1 species
GACGAACGCUGGCGGCGUGCUUAACACAUGCAAGUCGAACGGAAAGGCCCUUGUUUUGUGGGGUGCUCGAGUGGCGAACGGGUGAGUAACACGUGAGUAACCUGCCCUUGACUUUGGGAUAACUUCAGGAAACUGGGGCUAAUACCGGAUAGGAGCUCCUGCUGCAUGGUGUGGGUUGGAGAGUUUCGGCGGUUGGGGAUGGACUCGCGGCUUAUCAGCUUGUUGGUGGGGUAGUGGCUUACCAAGGCUUUGACGGGUAGCCGGCCUGAGAGGGUGACCGGCCACAUUGGGACUGAGAUACGGCCCAGACUCCUACGGGAGGCAGCAGUGGGGAAUAUUGCACAAUGGGCGGAAGCCUGAUGCAGCAACGCCGCGUGCGGGAUGACGGCCUUCGGGUUGUAAACCGCUUUCGCCUGUGACGAAGCGUGAGUGACGGUAAUGGGUAAAGAAGCACCGGCUAACUACGUG